GAAAGCGUGGCUAAUACCGGAUGAAGUCCAUGAGGCCUCGGCCUCAAGGACGAAAGGUGGGGAUCUUCGGACCUGCCGCGACAGGACGAGCCCGCGUACCAUUAGCUUGUUGGUGGGGUAAUGGCUUACCAAGGCGACGAUGGUUAGCUGGUCUGAGAGGAUGAUCAGCCACACUGGCACUGAAACACNGGCCAGACUCCUACGGGAGGCAGCAGUGAGGAAUUUUGCGCAAUGGGGGAAACCCUGACGCAGCAACGCCGCGUGAGUGAUGAAGGCCUUCGGGUCGUAAAGCUCUGUCAGGUGGGAAGAAACACCUGGAGGCAAAUAGCCCUCGGGUCUGACGGUACCACCAGAGGAAGCACCGGCCAACUCCGUGCCAGCAGCCGCGGUAAUACGGAGGGUGCAAGCGUUGUUCGGAAUCAUUGGGCGUAAAGGGCGCGUANGCGGUCCAGAAAGUCGGGUGUGAAAGCCCUGGGCUCAACCCAGGAAGUGCAUCCGAAACUGCUGGACUUGAGUACGGGAGAGGGAAGCG
rnacentral:rRNA from 1 species